GUGCUUGCUUCGGCAGCACAUAUACUAAAAUUGGAACGAUACAGAGAAGAUUAGCAUGGCCCCUGCACAAGGAUGACACCAUUGAAUUUCUAAAUAAAAAAAUAAAA
ensembl:snRNA U6 U6 spliceosomal RNA